rnacentral:lncRNA from 10 species
UCUGGAUUUAAAAUCUCCUUACUAAUUAAGUACUGUUUUAACUGGGGGCAGAAUGUGUGCCUUAAAAGAACGUAGGGACCUAAUGGCUGUUUUCCUGCUGAUGGGACAGUAUCAGAACUAAAAUUUGGCUUUGGAGGACAUUUUACUCCUAAUUGUUGAAGGCAGUGUUUUCGCAUUCACAGAAGGGGCAUAAAGCCUGGUCUCUAGUAUAGGGGUGCAAAAAGGGAGGAGAAUUGGGAGGCUAGAGUGUUACAGCAAUGGACCAACGCUGUGCCUCAUGGAGAGGAUUCCUAUUCCACUAGGUGGCGACGUUGACCUAGAAAUACCGUGCGCUUCCCAGAGGAAGGGUAGAGGGAGAAAUGCUUAUUGAGAAGGGCUCUUUGCUCCUAGAAAAUGACAGAAAACAGCAUUCCCUUGUGCUAUAUUCUCAGUUACUAUGGCAUUCGCUAAUCUUUCCUAACAGGACUAUUUUCCUGAACUGUAAAAAUUCUCAAACACUGCAUACACAGAGAGGAUAGGAGACAUGGCCUUUGCGGAUAGGAAAUGAGGAAAUUUUGCGAUAGGACAGCUGUAGAUCCUGUUGCGGACACCCAGCCGGGCAGUUGGAGGUGGGGUCAGUCCAGAAGCCUUCAGAUAACACCAGGGUGUAGUCCUGGCGAGAAAUCUUCAGUUGCUUCAGGACCUUUUCUAGCCCCACGCGACGGCUAGGUCCUCCGUGAGAGAAAACUGGUUCGAGAAGCAUGGCCAACAUUCCCAAUGAUCCAAGCAGCAUUCUACAUCCAGGUACCAGCUUUAUGAUAGUGAGAGAAGAGGAACAAGACACCAUGUCUUGCCAAUGCCCGUCUAGCAUGCGUGGAGUGCAUAUACAGCUACAAGUCCUAGUGGCAGCCCACUCCUGAUUCCUGGCUCACACAGUGGUGCCCUCCUGAAGCCAACAGUUCCUGUGGAAGCUGCCUGACACUCUACAGUGACUUUCCUGAUUGUGAUAGAGGUGGCAGCCAUUAAAAAAAAAAAGAAAAAAGAAUGGCAAAAACUGCAAUUACUUUUGCACCAACCUAAUACCUUUCUGCUGAAGGUAACUCACCAGACAAGCUCCUGUGUCCUGCAAGUGGGCCCUGACUGGUAGAUAUUUAAAUAGUAUUCACAAGUGAAAUAAAAUGAGUACUAGGAUGACAUUUUUUAUUACAUGAUUUUAUAUUCUUUUUCCUACAAAUAAUAAUUACAUUAUCAUUUGCUCAAUUAAUUUUAUGCUUCUGGCUAAGCUUCCCCACCUUCCAAGAGCUUCUCAGUACACAUUUGUACAUGGCUGUCAUCGGAGCUAUCAGAUAAUAUAUUAUUAUUUCUCUGGAGACUUCCACUUUGGGCCAUUCAUUCUCCUGCCCUUAUCUGGGAGGGUUGUCUCCACCCCAGCUGCACAGCAAUCAUGCUGAGGCCUUCCUUCAUGGCAAUCCUGGGAAUUUCUUUGUGACAUCAUAAAAAUAUCUAUUUGGUCCUUGCUCCUGGUUCCUGGCACAGGGAUCCUAAUACCCUUGGAACUGUCUUUUUAUGCUAAUGAGAUGAUUCAUGAAGUGGGCCUAGGUAGCUUCAGGGUACGGGUUGGUCAUCAGAGAAACCAAUCCCAUGAUUCAAGGGUUGAGAAGUUCAGCUCCACAAAUGGCCAAUGAUUUAAUCAAUUUUGCCUAUGUAAUGAAGCCUCCAUAAAACCCUCUAAACAGGAUUCAGAGACCAUCUGGGUUGAUGAACACACUGAUGUGCUGGGAGAAUGGCCCACCCACAGAGGCCACGGAAGCUCUGCACCCAACCACCUCCCCGCCCCACCUGCCGCCACAUACCUUUCCUAUGUAUUUCUUCCAUGUGGCUGUUACUGUGCUGUGUCCUCUAGAAUAAUCUGGUAAAUAUAAGUAAAGCACUUUCCUGAGUUCUGUAAGUCCUUCUAGCAAAGCAUCAAACCUGAGGAAAUCUAAGGAGUAGAGGGAGAGGUUGGAAGGGAUGUUUCUGAGAAGGCUUCUACUAAAAAUCAGAGCACAACAAACUUAUAUGGGAACAUAUUUAUCAAGUAGGGAAGAGUGCAAGAAGGGGAGGAAUGUCUGCUUGAAGCCAGCAGCCUGGACUUAGGUGUGCCCCAGCUCUUCCUAAAAGAAAGCUUCCUCAACCUGGUUUCAGAGGCCAAAGCUUUCCAAUACCAGACGGUGAUAUACCUAAGGGGACUGGAAAAUGAGAUCUAGGCAGGACUGGAGACAGCACUUGUGGGACCCAGUGCAACGCAAAAAUGAGGCGCCUUUGUUAGAAAGUGACGAAGAAUUUCCAGAGAUUGAAAGCAAAGCAAGAAACCAGGGCCCUUUUGAGUGUGGGCCCAUGCGCCUGCUCAGGAAGCCAGCCCUGGGUGUAGGAUAGUUGUAUAAUAGGGAGCAGUUAAGCUCCUAUCUAGGUCUUAAUGCACACACAUAUUAAAAAGACUUCUCCAUCAUCCCCUGAAGCUAUUUUAAAUAAGGCAUUGAUUAUCUAGGCUUUCCAAAUAGGUAUUUCUGCCCUCCACCCUGAAGAUUUUCAGUAUAGAAAGUUUCAAACAUAUACAAAAGUAGAGAGUACCCGCAUGUACCCAUCACACAGCUUCAACAAUCAUGCACACAGGACCAAUCUUAUUUUAUCUUCUUUUUUUUUUUUUUGAGACAG